ACUCCUACGGGAGGCAGCAGUGGGGAAUCUUGGACAAUGGGGGCAACCCUGAUCCAGCCAUGCCGCGUGAGUGAUGAAGGCCUUAGGGUCGUAAAGCUCUUUCGCCUGUGAUGAUAAUGACAGUAGCAGGUAAAGAAACCCCGGCUAACUCCGUGCCAGCAGCCGCGGUAAUACGGAGGGGGUUAGCGUUGUUCGGAAUUACUGGGGCGUAAAGCGCGCGUAGGCGGAUUAGUCAGUUAGAGGUGAAAUCCCAGGGCUCAACCCUGGAACUGCCUUUAAUACUGCUAGUCUUGAGUUCGAGAGAGGUGAGUGGAAUUCCGAGUGUAGAGGUGAAAUUCGUAGAUAUUCGGAGGAACACCAGUGGCGAAGGCGGCUCACUGGCUCGAUACUGACGCUGAGGUGCGAAAGUGUGGGGAGCAAACAGGAUUAGAUACCCUGGUAGGAAACCG
rnacentral:rRNA from 1 species